rnacentral:lncRNA from 10 species
GGACAACCAGAGGUCACUCUCGUUGCCAUUUUUGUUUUGAUGGGUUUUGGCCGGCUCCUUUUCUGCAAGCUGUUUUAUUAGCAAGGUCUUUAUGACCUGUAUUUUGCGCUGACCUCGUAUCUCAUCCUGUUACUUAGAAUGCCUUAACCAUCUGGAAAUGCUGCCCAGAAAAUUUCAGCUUUAUUUUACCCAGCUUCUAUUUAAGAUGGAGUUGCUCUGGUUCACACGCCUCUGACGCUGGGACUCAGAUAUUUUAAAUAUGCCUCUCUGCUGAUAAUGUUGAAUUUCA